CGUGCGUCCCGGCCGCCCGCGCGCAGAGACUCGUCGAUCGUUAACGCGUAGUACCACGGCCAUUGUGCUAAAAGAACCCACGACGCUCGGAUAGUGAACGCUGAGGACCGGGGACGUGUAGUUUUUCCAAGUUUUUCCUCCUGUGAUAUUUAGAUUGUGCCAAUAUAGAAACGAGGAAACGAUACCAGAGAACAUGGAGGAUGACCAGCAGUUCUGCCUUAAAUGGAACAAUCAUCAGAGCACACUGAUACAAAAUUUCGACACGCUUUAUGAAAGCGGUACGCUGGUCGACUGCACGUUGGCAGCGGAGGGGAAAUACCUAAAGGCCCACAGGGUAGUCCUCUCCGCGUGCAGUCCAUAUUUUGAGGGCCUCCUCAGCGAGCACUAUGAUAAGCACCCUGUAUUCAUACUCAAAGAUGUAAAAUUUAAAGAAUUGAAGGCGAUGAUGGAUUAUAUGUACAGGGGAGAAGUGAAUAUCUCCCAAGACCAACUAACGGCACUCCUUAAGGCUGCCGAGUCAUUACAAAUUAAGGGCCUUUCGGAAAGUAAAACGGGCGGUGGUAACAAUAAAACAGUUUCGAGGGUAUCUAAAGUCGCGCCACAGCCGAGGUCAUCGCCGUUAAACAUUUCCUACGCGUCUUCCGGUCUCACCAUUGAAAGGAACAGAGUUCCUAGACAGGCACAAAGUUCUAUAGGGGAUUUGCCCGAAGACUCGCACAGUCCCCAAAUACCUAAGGAGCUUUCCUCGAGGGAGGGCUCGCAAAGUCCAACAUCAAAGAAAAGAAGAAGACUUAGAAGAAGAAGCGUCGGUGAAGAUAAUUCCGUAGAAAAUCACGAAGCAUCGAAUUCAAGCGAUAUACCUCAACAAAUGGGCGUGCCGGCACUUGCGAUAGCACCUGUCGCGGACGAAAAAACGAACGCUGAUCCCACGGACUCCCUCGGCAGGUCAGCUUUAAUGACGCAGCUGACGAAACCUGCCGAUGAGAUGCUUCAGAUACCACUCGACAAUCCCGAGCCAAAUGAUAAUCUCAUCGAGCCAAAGUCCGAGUAUUUGGAGGACCAAGAAGAAAGCGUUGAGGAUCUGACCCUAGAUGAUGAUAUGAAUGAUUUGAAUGAAAUUGAGCAGGAUACGAAUAGGGCCGGGCCGUCCCAUGAUAACUCUCAACAUCCUGCUGGCCUUGCAACAUGGCACGUUACCGGUGAUCGAAGUAACGCGGGUGGUGUCGUGGGUUCGGUGGCAGGUGCACCAGGAACGACGGACGAAGUCUUUCUUGCAGCCCAGGAGGCCGCCCAGGCCCACCGCGACUCACAAGAACUUUGGCCGAUGGGACGUCCUCAUGGACAGGAUCAACAGAUGACUCAUUAUCAGCAACACCAAUCCGAAAGUUAUCAACAGAUGCAACGAAAAUCCUUGGAUAAGUCUUCGAUGAUGGUUUCCCAAUUGAGGAAGUAUCAGUGUCCGAAAUGCGACAAGUCAUUUUCACAGAGCUACUCGAUGUAUCGACAUUACAGAUACGAGUGCGAUUCUUUGCCACGUUAUCAGUGUCCUUAUUGCGGCCACGUCAGCAAGUGGACUCAUUCGAUCUAUAAUCACAUCAGGAAACUUCAUCCGGGGCAAGAUGUCACCUUGAACAAACUCUACUAGUUGAAUCGUGAUCAGAUUGUAUUUUAGACCAAUCGUCCUAGAGAAGUUACAACCAACUGUACGGCAUCGACAUUCACGUCAUCUGGUCAGACUACAGAACGUAUUGAAUCGUCGUGGCUUCCCCUGUCCGAAAUGUUCUCGGAUAUUUCACACUUCCGGCGGUAGUUACCAGAUGGAUUCCAAUGGGCGGUAUCAUAGUGUUCGCAGUAAUCUAUCGAAAGCCGUCAUACUACGUCAUAUCCAGUCCCACUACAACUUGCACGAGAUACGAUUUCGAUGUCCUUAUUGCGGCUAUGGUUCCAAGUAUAGUUCGAACGUUUAUAAACACGUGAGAAAUAUUCACAAGGCCAAUCAUAUUAUCGUUUGCUAGGAAAGCCAAAGAAUUUUUACUAAUUUUUACGAUCAAUUUUUAUCGUAUUUUUAAUAAAUCGCAUCGAAGAUAUUAUAUGAAUACAAUUUUAUAUUUUUAUUUACUUUCUUUUUCGAUGAUAACAAAGACAAACGAUCGAGUAUUUUGUUUUAAUACUUUUUCUUUUCUUUUAGUUAGUUAGUUUCUAUUACGCUCGUUUACGUGCGCGUGAUCAUCUUUUCGUCGUUUAAAGCGAUUAAAUUUAAACGGAUUAAAAUUUCAUGUUUAUAAUGAAAUUAAUUCACGAAAAUAAAGAAAACAAAAACGAUUAAACAACAUUUUUCAUCAUCUUCUUUUCUUUUCUUUUUUUUUUUUCUUUGUUUGAUUCUUCUAAAAGUCGUCGUUGCCUCUCGCUUCGUUAUUCGUACUUUUCCUUUUUCUCUUCAUCAUUUCUCUUUUCUCUUCUUAUCUAACACUUUUAACUAACACGUUUAAAUGUAUUUUUCGUCGUAAUAAAAAUUAUUAUAUAAUCGGAGAAAAGAAGUUGUUCGUCGGAGUUUCGUAGAUCGAAUGAGAUACGUUGAUUUCGAGAGAAAAACUACAGAUGCGAAAUUACGCGUGUUAAUACUUUAUAUGCGGACAAAUGUAAAAAAAAAAAAAAGAAAAAAAAUAUAUAUAUAUUAUUCCCUGUGUCAUUUUUACAAAACUUAUUUGCGAACGGAAUAGGAAAUACAUAUAUCAUUCCGUUUCGACUUAUAUAUCUAUUCUAUAUAUUUUCAUAUUGGUCCGACAACGAGUCGGACCUGAUCUGUUCGGAAAAUUGUAUAUCUUCGUAUCCACGUGUACUAUCGUAGAAAAAUGAAUGUCCAUCGUUUAAGAGAUAAACUGUGUAUUUGUGUCCAUGUGUAUGUGUAUGUGUAUGUGUAUUCGAUCUAUUCGCAGAUAUUUAAUCGACAAGAUUGCGUAGUUAAAAAUAAAAUGCGUCGUAAAAUCGUCGUCGUUUUAUUUCUAACUAUUCUUAAUUAUGAUUUUUCCUGUUCGCUAGAUUUUAUCAGUUCGCAAUUAAAGUCUGACGAAUCGUACUCGUUUACGUUACGAAUAAUCGAUGAAAAUAUUUCAAAUAGUUUUCUAACGAUAGAUAUUUCACGUUCACGAUGGAGAAUAUUAGAAAUUACGACGCUUGUCUAUUGCGAUGCUUAUACAACCACGUAACAAUGUCGACUGAACCGAUCGAACAAGAUCGUGCUUGUCUCGAGCCAAGGACAUGCGUAAUAUACACAUACAUAUAUAAAUACGCACAUAGAUUACCUUGAAAUACACAAUAACAUUUUCUACAAUAACACAAAGCUAUAACAAAGAUAUACGUUUGUAACAGAUCUAUUGUAUGACUUUGUAAGAUGUCGAAUUUGUUUACUUCGCUGAAACGUCGAUAUUAGGUGUUACGAUAUGUUCUGCGUGUGUAUAUAUAUUUAUACACACAUAUGUGUGUGUGUGUGUGUGUGUGUAUGUGUUUAGGUUAAUACGUACGUGAAUAAUAUUACGCAUGUAUUUUUCAAUCGCUUCUACGUCGUCGAAACGUUUGGUCAUCGUUUAUAAUUCUAACGAGCAUAGUUUUAUUUCGUCGAUCUCAUAUAUUUCGCAUAUAAGGUGUUAAAUUAUUUUCUUUCAUUUCUAAUAGCCAUAAUUAUUAGCAAUUAUAUAUAUAUAUAUAUAUAUAUAUAUAUAUAUAUAUAUGUAUUAUUGAUGAAGAAUUCGAAAGAUCAUCAUUUGGAAAAUUGAUACAUAUGUGUAAUAUAUAUUUAAAUAGAUGUAAUACACAGUAAUUUAAUCAAGAAUCGAAUAAUAUUAGACCAUUAGAUUAUUAAAUAUCUACGCGAAUAUGUCAACGAGUGUGUCAAGAUUUCAAUGAUCAUCUUCUUAUUAACGAAUGCGUUAUCGUCAUCGGAAGGAUGAACAACAGUAUCCAAAAAUAUAAAUUGUAUUUGAUAAUGAUUUUUAUUAUUAUUCGAAGAAAAUAUUUUUUUAUAAUAAAAGGAAUAUAAAAAUUUUAUAUAUAUAUAUGUAUGUAUGUAUGUAUGUAUAUGUAUAUAUAUGUAUUUAUAUAUGUAUAUAUCUAUAUAUGUAUAUAUAUAUAUAUAUAUAUAUAUAUGUAUAUAUAUAUAUAUAUUUCAUUUCAUUUAAAAAAAUUUUCGUCUACGAAUUAGCGAAAAGAAAGAAUGAAAGAAAGAAAGAAAGAAACUAAAAACAAACAAAAAAGAAUAAAAAAGAAAAGAACGAAUCCCGAUAUCUUCCAACUCUUUCCUUUUUUUUUUUUUUUUUUUUUAUUCGAUCAUCCAAUUUUUCCAAGAAUUAUCCGAACGAUCCAGAAUUCUCAUUAUCAUUUAUAAAUCGUAUAACUCAAAAUUAUAAUAAUCUCGAUUCCCACUUUCUACAAGAACACAAACACGCUUUUUCUCUCAUCUUUUCAAACGCCCACUAUCCAUUCACCUAUCUAUCUAACCCUCUUCUCCAAGCACAAAAAGAAAAAGAAAAACAAACUCUCGUGAUAUUUUUUCUUUCUUCCUUUUUUAUUUUCUUAUUUUUUUUUUUUUUUUGUCGACGGAAUAUAACUCCUUCGUUACUCGUAGUAAUUUAUUAGCUUUCUUUUUUAUCCUUUCUUUUUCAAUUCCUUAAUUUUGUUGUUUUCAUCACUCUUAGUCAUCUUCCUAUCUCUCUCCCUCUCUCUCUCUCUCUCUCUUUCUUUCUCUUUCUAAGUCUUUUUCUUUAUUCAUUAUUCUCUAUUAAUUUGAAUGAUAUUUUUCUAUAUUUCAUUUCUCUUCUUCUUCUUCUUCUUCUUCAUCUUCUACUACUACUUCUUCUACUACUAUUCCAAGAGACCUGAUUAAUCAAGGUCAGAUCGACUAAUCCUUAAACCUUUUUUCCUGUUCGUAGGACGUCCAUUGGCACCUUACGACAGUGGUAUCCUAAACAUCUUACGGGCGAACAUGGAUUAUCGUGAGAAUCGAAAUGAAUCGAGGAAAAACGAGGAUAUUCGUGGGCCCUAUUGGCAAUCCGGCAAGAUGUCUUAUCAUUGUCCACGUUGUAACGCCGGAUACACUUAUAAGAAGACCUUGAAGACCCACAUGAAGUAUGAUUGCGGAAAGGAGCCAAGAUUCAAGUGUCCUUAUUGCAAUAAAAGGGACAAGUGUUCGUCGAACAUUUACAAACACAUAAGAAUGCGACACGAUGGUCUACCAGUGAUAGUUCAUCGGAAUUAGAGGAAUUAGACAGAGAGACAGAGAGAAAGAGAGAGAGAGAGAGAGAGAGAGAGAGAGAGAGAGAGAGAGAGAAUGAAAGAGAUAUUGGAAUGGUUGAUAGAGAGGAUUGCUUUGGGUUUAUGAUAUGGCACGCACACACAGUGAAUUUUAAUCUAUUUCACUCUCUUAUUUACAGAUCUUAUUCCCAUUCCCUGAUCUUCUACGAUUUCCAUAAGACAAUUGAAAAGGAAUAUGCGAAUGUUCCUUAGAAAUAAUUAAAAAAAAAAAAAGAAAAAAAAAGAGAUUGAAACGAUCGAAGGGAGGAUACAUCGAUCGAUUUAGCUGUAAAAAUGAAAAGAGAGAGAUCGCAUCGUCGAAUGAUUUGUAAAAUAAUUUUGUGUAUGUAUGUAUGAUGUAUGCAUGAUGUUUGUAUGUAUGUAUGUAUGUAUGUAUGUAUGUAUGUAUGUAUGUAUAUAUGUAUGUAUGUAUGUAUGUAUGUAUGUACGUAUGUGUGAUCAAAAGUUUUAGAUAUCGGAUUAUAGAUUUCAUUGAUAUUAUCGAUCGUUCUCGAUCGUUGGAUUUUAAUUCUUAUUCUUGUUCUGCCUCGUGAAUUUUCGAGAGAAAGAGAGAGAAAAAAAAAGAAAGAAAGAGUCCAUUGUAAUUAAGAUCCAUUAUUUCUUAAUGGAUUUAGAGUUCCUAUUCACUCUCUUUGUCUAUGUCUGUGUUUGUGUCUGUGGGUGGGUGGGUAUGUGUGGGUAUGUAGAAUAAAAAACCAGUGAAAUUAACGGGUCAACGAACGAUAGUAAAGAUCGAUGAGAAAUUUUAUCGUCGAAUGUACGCGUGAUUUUAAAUUGAUUUUAAGCCUGUCGUCUCUUCUUUUUUUUUCCUUUUUUUUUCGUUCUCUUUUUUUUCUUUUUUUUUUAUAUAUUAGUUUUGCAUGUCGAAUGGAUUGAAUGUAAAAAGGAAGGGGAUUGUUAUCCGGAAUAAAAGUGUGACAAUUUUACGAAAGAAUCACAUAUCUUUUUUGUGUACGUAUGUGUAUGUAUGUCUGUCUGUCUGCGUGUGUUUGCCUAUGUGUGGGUGUGUGUAUGCGCUCACGCGUGCGUGUCUAUUAUUAUCAUCAUCAUCAUCAUCAUUAUUAUUAUUAUUAUUAUUAUUAUUAUUAUUAUUAUUAUUAUUACUAUUAUUAUCGUUAUCAUUAUCAUUAUCAUUAUCAUAACUAUUAUUUAUUAAAAUUCUUUCAUCACAUGGAUCCAUCGUACGUGUAUAUUAAAAUUGUUCUAAUCUUUCUAAAUGUGUCACCUGUUGUCUCUCUUUGUCUUCUUCUUCUUCUUUUUUUUUAUUUUUUUGUUCUUUGAAUUAAAAAAAAAAACCAAGAAAAAAAGGGGGAGAAAAAAGAAAAAAAAACAACAACGACAUAUUUCACAUAUGGGUCUGAUUAAUAUUUGUUAUGUGGGUUUUUGGUUUGAUUAAUUAACGUAAAUAUUGUCCGACGAUAUUAUUGCAUUACGGUUUUCUUUUCUUUUUGUUUCUUUUUUCCUUGCUUCUCUUUUUGUCCUUUGUUUUUUGUUUCUUUCUUUUUUUUCUCUUUUAUUUAUUUAUUUAUUUAUUUAUUUAUUUUUUUCUUUCUUUCUUUCCUUUUUUUUUGGAUUAAUCAAAUAUCUAUUUUCAGAUAGAAGACUGUCCUCGAGAUCGACGAAAUUGUCUACAUCUUCGUUAAUGCUGAACAAGUUCGUAUGUCAUCAGUGCAACGCUGGAUACCGACGUAUGGGAGAUCUGACGAGGCACAAAUGUACUUACAUACAAAGAUACGCAUGUCCGUAUUGUAACAAGAAAGAUAAUUCGACGACGAAUUUGUACAAGCAUAUAAAAAAGUGGCACCCUACGAAUCAAGCCUGUUUGAAAAAAUUCUUUUGAAAUGUGCUUACGAACGAAAAUAAAGAAAAUUUUAGACGACUCCGUCAAACCCUCACGCUCCGAUCGUCCGUGAAUCAAAAAACUAAAAAAAAAAAAAAAGAAAAAAAAGAAAAAGAAAAAGAAAUCAACAUCGAGAAUAUUUCUUAAUACAUUUCUUGUUUUUAAUUUUAAUCGACUAUUCCUUUUUCUCUUUUUUCUUUCUUUCUUUUUCUUUUCUUUUCUUUUCUUUUUCAUUCAGACUCAUAUCUCUUUCAUACAGGUGUUUUCUUACAGUUAAUAUAACCUUCUCCCCUCUUUUAGGAAAUAUUCGAUAACAAUUGGAUGUACCUAUAUAUAUAUAUAUAUAUAUACAUAUAUAUACAUAUACAUACAUAUAAGUAGAAACAAACUCUUAUUUUACCUUUCCAAUUGUUCAAAGUUUAGCUGUAAAAAAAUCGAAUUUUGUUGAACCGUAUUAUAUAAAUAAAACGAACGAUACUGUAAUCCUCAUAACUUGGUUAUUUUUUCAGAUAAUCGAGAUAAUCAGAAGUUGGCUAAUUUGGAACUGAUUUAUGGAUCGUUGCCAUACGAAAGAUCUGCGGUUGGUUCUGAUUUAGGAUACAAAUAUCAUUACGAUCAACGGAAGAGUUUCGAGUGUCUCAAGUGUGGUACAUUUUUCACGCAAAAGACAACGAUAACGAGACACGUAAGAUACUUCUGCGGACGGGGAUAUCGUUAUCAGUGUCCUUAUUGCGAUACCAAAGCAUCAUGCUCGUCGAACAUCUACAGACACGUGAGAUCACGUCACAAGGGUUUAGAGGCACAUGCCGUAAAGCUCUUCACAUCAUUCGAACCCCAUAGAACGACUCAUCAGUACGGGAAUACCAUCGAUGGAGAACAAUCUCAACGUUUUGCCAUAUAAACUGUAGAUACAUAUAUAUAUAUAUAUAUAUAUAGAUACACACAUAUAUAUAUACACAGAUAUAUAUAUAGAUAUAAUUUAAUGAUUAUAAGAAACGAUUAAUGUGUACUAUAUAUAUCAUCAAUCUAAUAUCCAAUUUCUUUCCAAAUCUCGGCAAUAUAAAAUAUUCCUCGAAUAUCAAUAUCCCGUAUAAAAAGAAAAAGAAAAGAAAAAAGAAAAAGAGCUCCUGUUUUUUAUUUGAUUAUAUAUAUAUGUAUAUUUUUUUUUUAUUUUUAUUUUUUCUUUUUAUUCAUUUUUUUCAUUCUUUCUUCUAAUUUUUUGUUUAAUUUAAAAAAUUUUUUUUUGUGUUAACUAUAGUAACAAACCUAUUGGUUUUGUAUAUAUAUAUAUAUAUAUAUAUAUAUAUAUAUAUAUAUAUAUAUCAUGCACGUAUAUAUGUAUACGUCCAAAUGGGUUCGCGAUACGAAGAAAAGGUUCAAGUAUAUAUCAAGUUGAAAUACGAAGAGGGUUAUCUAUGGUGUUCUACCCAUUGAGUCCGAUUCUUAUCCAAUGAGUGUGUGAAUAUUUCUUUAAAUUUAUUUUUAUUUAUUUCUUUUCUCUUUUCUUUCCUUUUCUUAUCUUUUCUUCUCUUUUCUUUCCUUUCCUGACCUUUUCUUUUCUUUUCUUUUCUGUUUUCUUUUCUAUCGUCGUUUCGUCGUCGAGAACAAAGCAUUUACUUUCGUUUUUACUAAUAUUUUUAAUUAACAUUUCAGGUAUUUGGCGUGACAGUCCAGAAGGGAAACGACGGAAAAUCUAUUCCGAUAACAAGAGUCACUACUGUCCAAGAUGCAAUCGGGGAUUCACGCUGAAGAAGAACAUGAAUCGUCACUUACGUCACGAAUGUGGAAUGGCACCAAAAUAUCAAUGUCCAUAUUGCGACAAACCAUCAAAAUUCACUCAAAAUAUUUAUGCGCAUAUUCGAAAGUAUCAUCCUGGUCAAUCGUUAUGUUUUAAGAGGCUUUAUUAAAGCAAAGAAAAGAAAAAAAAAAGAAAAGAAAAAAUGAAAAAAAAAAGAGAAACAAUAAUAAUUAUAAUAAUCAUCAUAAUAAUAAUAAUAAAAAUAAAUUCGUAUAUACAUAUAUGGGGCCGUUUAAUAUUAAAGUAGUUGGUAAUAAGUGAAAUUGUUUGCUCAUUUGAUUUAAUAUUAUGGUUUUAGACACAUCAUGUCUCGGUGUGUCUAAAAAAUUUUGAAAAAGGGUAAUCGAUUUUUUUUUUUUUUAAAUCAUCUAGGAACAUUCGGUUCAUUCCUUCUUGUAUCAUUGCAUUUUUUAUACUUUUUUAUCCUUCAUUAUUCGAUCAAUCAAUUUUUAAAUGGCUCAUAUAUAGGAAUCUUUUAUCUUGAUCAUCUCGAUAAUUAACAAAUUUUCUUUUUGGCUUUGUUUUUCUUUUCCUUUAUUUUUUCUUUUUCUUUACUUGAUUUAUAUCAAUUUGAUUCGAACAAUAAAGUUCCUUCUUGUUAUUUAUUUUUUUUUCCAGAGUUUUCAUUCCUCAAUGAAGAAAAUAAUUGACGUUUUAAAAAACUUUUUUGUAAAUUGUGUCUUCUUCUUUCUAAUUCUUUUUUUCUUUUUUUAUAUAUGCCUCUGUCCAAAGAGAACGGACGAAGCUUAAUUUUUAAUUUCCAGGUUCUUCAUUUUGGAUCUUAUUAAUUUUAUGAAAAAAAUACACUUGGCCGUUUCGAUAAUAAUAAUUGAUACGACAAGAAACACAUGGUUGAUAUGUUGAUAAGAAAAAUACAAAGUGUUGUUUAAAUAUCUAACUAAGAAACUUUAUUAUUCCUUCCUGUCUUUAUUACGUCAUAUCUAAUCAUCAACAUUAAUUAAUUAUCAUUUGAAGAAUCGAUUAUAUGUCUUGUCCGUUGUUGCCGUUGUUGCGUCCGUAACGAGAAAGGAAAAUAAAAAUAAAAAAUAAAAAAAAAAGAAAAAUAAAGAAAUGAAUAGAAACGAAACGACGACGAACGAAGGGAAACGAAAAAGAGAAAAAAAUAAAAAAAAAAAGAAGCGAAACGAGAAAUAAAAAAUUGAAAUCGAAUAAUAAAACAAAAAAGAAAACAAAACGAAAGAAAGUUGUCCUCGCAAAUUUGCUAAGUAAUAAUAGACCUAAUUGCAUUUCCUCUGAUGCGAAAACCGUUCUUUCAGCUUUCUUUCAAGCGUCAUCGUCGUCAUCUUAUUUCCAUGGAGUACCACUUCUACCUGGGAGAAGAGUAAGAAGAUGCCUAAUUCCAAACACGGCUUUGAGAGGGACCUACGAAUGUCCAAAUUGUCGAAAGAUCUACAAGUGGUAUCGGGGUCUUCACAGGCAUUUGACGUACGAAUGCGGCAAGGCACCACGUUUCAAGUGUCCUCAUUGCGUCUACGCAGGAAAACAUAGAUCUCACGUCUACUCCCAUAUCAAGAGCAAUCAUCAUAAUCGACCUGUUUACGCGCUCGACACUCAAGAAGAUUAAAUAAUAUAAUUAAAUAGUAUAUAUAUAUAAUAUAUAUAUAUAUUAUUUGUAAUUUAUAUGAAAUUAAUUAAUUAAAUUAAAUAAUAUAAUUGAAUAAUAUAUAUAUAUAUAUAUAUAUAUAUAUUAUUUGCGAUUAUAUUAUUUAAUCUUAAUUAAAUCAUAUAUCGAGAUUGCGUAUGGAUCGAUCGAUCCUAAUGAUUAAUAAUCUCAUGGUCGUGUUUCAUAAUCUUUCUCAAUGAUUAAGACAGGCCUAAAGAGAGAUACGUCUUAUGAUAUUUCUCUCCAUAUUGAAAAUCCUAUUGUAUCUAUUCUACAUUUUCUUUUUCUUUCUUUUUUUCUUUUCUUUUCUUUUUUUUUUUUUUGUUCUCUAAUCGCAGCGCGUGAAGGAGAGAAAAAAUAAAUGAAACGAUAAUGAGAAAAAAAGGAAGAAAGAGAGAUUAGAUAUGCAAGGAUUUGUCAAUUACUUUGACAAAAAUAAAUAAAUAAAUAAAUAAUGAAUAAAUAAAGAAAUAGAUAAAUAAAUAAAUAAAAAGUAGAAUAUAAAAAAUAAGAAAAAACAUACACUUCCUAAAAUUACUCCUACGAUAUCUAACUUCAUUCGAGAUUUAGAAUAGUCUUUAUCACGAAGGAAUAAAUUGUUGUCCUAAUCGAAUGUUUAUUAAGUAAUUGUAUAACCGUUUUUAGAGUUAUGAUAAACUAUUUGCUGAUAAUACGAUGAUUUUUUCAGAGAGAAAGAGAGAAAGAGAGAGAAUCUUUGUUUUUUCUUGGAAGGAAUGAAAAAAUGGGGGAGGGUAUAAGAACUCCUUGUAAGUUCGAACAAAGGGCGAGUGUGUGUGUAGGAUAAUGUAAUUUUGGUUAAGUAGAAGGAUAUAUAUAUAUAUACAUAUUAUAUAUAUGUAUAUAUAUAUAUAUGUAUAUGUUUGUAUGUACGUAUGUAUGUAUGUUCGUUUUUUAUUUCAAUUUUAUUAUUUUUAUUUUUCUGUUAUUAAUAGAUGAUUGUAGAGCUUGUUAUUGGUUAAAAAAGAAAAAAGGAAAUCGAAAAAAAAAUCCAAAAUACACAUUUGUCCCAUCAUUUUGUUCAAUCCUUUUCGUUUCGUUUGUUAACGGUGCUACGUGUUUCUUUAAUUAAUUUCUUUUGAUUUGUUACUUUUUGUUUGUUUUCUUUUUUUUUUUUUUAAUUUAAUUCUCCUGAUUAUUUUUCUUUUGUUAAUUUUGUUUUUUUUUUUUUAUUCUUUACUAAUCUUUUUCUUUUUUAUUUUUUCUUUUUUUUUCCACAGGGAGUAUUACACUAAGUAUUGCUUCCAACGAAAUAUUCUUUUGCCAGUUCUGCACCUAUCAGCAUCGUAAUAAUAAUCGCGUGAAUCGUCACAUGAAGAAAAAUCACAGAAACAUGAUGUCCCUUUAUAAUAUAAAUUUAGAAGCUAAUAAAAAAUCAACGAAAAAAAAGUCGAAGAGAUCAAGGAGGCAUUUUAGGAGAUGAAAAUUAAUGCAUUUAGGAGAUGAAUAAUUAAUUGAAUCGAGUAUAGAUUAGAGAGACCGACUGGACUGAUAUACUUUUUGUGUAUCUUUUUUCUUUUUCUUCUUUUUUUUUUUGCUUUUUCCUCUUUAUCUUCUUCUUUUUCUUCUCUACUCCUUCUUCUUCUCCUCCUUCUUCAUCCUGUUUUUCUUCUUCUUUUUUUUGUUUGUAUCCUCUUUUAUUUAUUUAUUUAUUUUUUAUCUCUUUUCUCUUUUUAUUUUUCUUUCAAUACAUCUGCAUGCAUAAAUUUUUUAAUAUUGUGUGAACGUUCUUUAUCGUCGUAAGGUUAUUGUAACGAUGAGAUAUAUCUGAUAAACUAAAAGGAAAGAAAGAAAUAAGAAAAUAAGAAAAAAGGAAUAAGAAGAAAAAAGAAUAAGGCAUAAUUUUGAAUCUUUUUGUUUGAAACGAUCACAGAUGAAAUAUGUUAAUAAAGUUAAAUUCAAGUUAUAUCUAG